rnacentral:rRNA from 1 species
GACGAACGCUGGCGGCGUGCCUAAUACAUGCAAGUAGAACGCAGUUGCUAACGGGUGCGUAACGCGUAGGUAACUGCCUGGUAGCGGGGGAUAACUAUUGGAAACGAUAGCUAAUACCGCAUACUACUAGAUGGACCUGCGUUGUAUUAGCUAGUUGGUGGGGUAAUGGCUAACCAAGGCAACGAUACAUAGCCGACCUGAGAGGGAGAUCGGCCAAACCGGGACUGGGACACGGGUCAGACUCCUACGGGAGGCAGCAGGAGGGAAUCGUCGGCAAUGGACGGAAGUCUGACCGAGCAACGCCGCGUGAGUGAAGAAGGUUUUCGGAUCGUAAAGCUCUGUUGUAAGAGAAGCGGUAUCUUACCAGAAAGGGACGGCUAACUACGUGCCAGCAGCCGCGGUAAUUC